GAUGAAGAACGCAGCGAAAUGCGAUAAGUAAUGUGAAUUGCAGAAUUCAGUGAAUCAUCGAAUCUUUGAACGCACAUUGCGCCCGCCAGUAUUCUGGCGGGCAUGCCUGUUCGAGCGUCAUUUCAACCCUCAAGACCCCUUCGUGGGACUUGGUGUUGGGGACCGGCACAGGGGCCUGCCUGCUUGUCUUGCAGCGCCCUCGCCGCCCCCGAAAUGAAUUGGCGGCCUCGUCGCGGCCUCCCCUGCGUAGUAGCACAACCUCGCAACGGGAACGUGACGGCGGCCACUGCCGUAAAACAACCCCAAUUUUAUUAGAGUUGACCUCGAAUCAGGUAGGAAUACCCGCUGAACUUAAGCAUAUCAAUAAGCGGAGGA
rnacentral:misc_RNA from 1 species